GUGGCCCUUCUUACCACAGUGAUAGCAAGUACUUUUGGUGGAGACCUUCUUUACCUUUUUCUUAGAGAUGCUAGCCUUAGGGUUCAUCUUUUUCUUAGAAUCAUUUUUGCCUUUCUUCUUGGUAAUCUUAUCAACAUGAAGGACUUGAGCCUUUUCACCUUUGAAAUGGCUCUCUGCUGUUUUCAGUAUGUUUAGCAGUUCUGGCAGGC
rnacentral:lncRNA from 1 species